rnacentral:rRNA from 1 species
GAUGAACGCUGGCGGCGUGCCUAAUACAUGCAAGUCGAGCGAACAGACGAGGAGCUUGCUCCUCUGACGUUAGCGGCGGACGGGUGAGUAACACGUGGAUAACCUACCUAUAAGACUGGGAUAACUUCGGGAAACCGGAGCUAAUACCGGAUAAUAUAUUGAACCGCAUGGUUCAAUAGUGAAAGACGGUUUUGCUGUCACUUAUAGAUGGAUCCGCGCCGCAUUAACUAGUUGGUAAGGUAACGGCUUACCAAGGCAACGAUGCGUAGACGACCUGAGAGGGUGAUCGGCCACACUGGAACUGAGACACGGUCCAGACUCCUACGGGAGGCAGCAGUAGGGAAUCUUCCGCAAUGGGCGAAAGCCUGACGGAGCAACGCCGCGUGAGUGAUGAAGGUCUUCGGAUCGUAAAACUCUGUUAUUAGGGAAGAACAAAUGUGUAAGUAACUAUGCACGUCUUGACGGUACCUAAUCAGAAAGCCACGGCUAACUACGUG